rnacentral:ncRNA from 1 species
AUCCGACUGUCUAGUUAAAACAAAGCUUUGCGAUGGCCACUGGUCGGUGUUAACACAAUGUGAUUUCUGCCCAGUGCUCUGAAUGUCAACGUGAAGAGAUUCAUCAAUGCGCGGGUAAACAGCGGUAGUAACUAUGACUCUCUUUUCUCCUAUGGCAUGCACGCCUUGGACUUCGGGGUGAGAGCAGAUGGUUACUUGCUUGUGCAAAGCCGACUCCCACCUGCAC